GGGGAUUUAGCUCAGUGGCAUAAGCACCUGCCUUGCAAGCAGGCAGUCGCCAGUUCAAUCCCUG
rnacentral:tRNA from 1 species